UUCCCUGUUGCGCAUUUGUCUGUUGAUAUCACCAUUGUUCCAUUUGGCUGCAGAUGAAAACAUAUGCUCCGGUUGGAAUGUUAUUGGAUAUAUAUGAAAAUAACAUCCUGAAGAUUGAUUCUCUACUUAGUUGGACCAGUUUAUUUGACCUGGAAUAUAUCUUUUUUAAGUUUUCGUCCGAGUUCGCCUGGACCAGCGUCAGCUUUUGGGCACGUGAGCUGAAAGUGGUACCAAAUGCAGCUAAUUGGACACUAGUAAUGGACCUUAUGGAAAAAAACAACGAUUUAUUGUGGAACUAGGACUCCUUGCACUGCAUUCUGAUGAAAUAUCAUCAAAGGUGAUUUGGUGAUGGGAGCUGUGAGCUGUGCAGGCAUGUUGGCCUUAAAGGAUUCUGGGAUCUAUUCUCUCAUCACCACUGUACCGUCCAAGUUACUGCCCUCAGGCCCUGUUGAAGAAAAUGGAAAGUCAUCUGAAAAAGACAAUUCUGAUACGUAGCACGUAUACAGCUCAAUCCCCGACAGACCAGCAACAUCAGCCCAGCUGGAUGGGUUGUACAGUCUUCUGCAGACACACUGAAACUACACCACUGGCUCUCUGUUUGUCUCACAGACAUACUGUUUCUUUCAGGAUGUCCUUUAUUUAUCACACAUCAGUAUCUAAUAAGUAUCUAAUACAUCUACUGCAGUACAGUUUCUAGGCAUAACCAUCAUAAAGGGCUGCCAUCCCAUGUCACAAUGUGUAGAAUUGUAGGAAAUUAGCUUUAUAACUGCAAAGGUUUCUCCGCCCCAUGGCAAAAUUUGAAGAAUUUGCAUGAUAUUAACUUUAAAGUUGCACAUUUGUCACUCCCAUGCCAUGAGGGGGCCACUGAAAUGUUUUCCCUCGAGGUGAGCAAAUCUAGCUUAGGUCCCCUAAAAUGCUAGCAAUGGUUCUGAUCUACUGUAUCACACAUGGACACCUAGUUUCUGUUACAUGCCAAUCCAUAAUAAUGGUUACUGUGUUUGAAUUUUUUGGGAGGCUUUGGGUGGGUUCGGCCGUACUCCCCUUUAAAACAAAAUAGUUUCCCCCCACCAGUAAAUGCUAAAUAUAUACUGUUAUAUUGUUGUCAACAUCAGAUCAUCAAAACUGGAAAAUAUAGAUAUCCUAAAUGCUUUUAAAAUCUCCCCAUUUCCCAAUGUUUACCUGUCACUUUGUCUACAUACUCAUCUCAUAUGUAUAUACUGUACUCGAUACCAUCUACUGUAUGCUGCUCUGUACCAUCACUCAUUCAUAUAUCCUUAUGUACAUAUUCCUUAUCCCCUUACACUGUGUAUAAGACAGUAGUUUUGGAAUUGUUAGUUAGAUUACUUGUUGGUUAUCACUGCAUUGUCGGAACUAGAAGCACAAGCAUUUCGCUACACUCGCAUUAACAUCUGCUAACCAUGUGUAUGUGACAAAUAAAAUGUGAUUUUAUUUUAUUUUAUUUGAUUUGAUUUAUUUUUCCAAGUUACCAGCUUAACUUCAAUUUACUCACGCACUUCAGAUUCUCCCCUUCAAUGUGCAGUGUUGUAGACACAUUCUAGAUUUAUAGUCCAGUGACUGCGUAGCAGUUAAGUUGUAAAUGGUGUGUGACCAUAACCUUCAUGAAACAAAAUUACCCACUUAAUUAACAUUGGAGAAUCGCUUCGUUUGACCAUCCUUAUCUGGUGAGUUUACAGAUGUAGGAUCUUAAUUUGAGCCAGAUUGCUACAGCAUAAAAAUUAUCCUGCAGCAUCUGGAAAUGUGAAUUAUUAUGUGUAUUAUAAUGUAUGGAUUUUUUGGGGGGUUUAUACAUUUUUCUUUAGGGCUAGUUUAGUCUUACAUUUCAAAGUGGAAAUUACAAACUUUAGAAGUCUACAUACACUAUACAUUUGCAUUUCCUGCUCUGCAAAAUUAUGUCAGUUUAUACAAUUUUAAAAACAUUACAAUACAUUCAGACUGUGUGCCCUCAAGCCCCUACUCCACCACUACCGCAUAUAUACAGUACAUAAUCCAUGUGUACGUGUGUGUAUGCUAUCGUGUGUGUAUGCUAUCGUGUGUGUAUGCUAUCGUGUGUGUAUGCUAUCGUGUGUGUAUGCUAUCGUGUGUGUAUGCUAUCGUGUGUGUAUGCUAUCGUGUGUGUAUGCUAUCGCGUGUGUAUGCUAUCGCGUGUGUAUGCUAUCGCGUGUGUAUGCUAUCGCGUGUGUAUGCUAUCGCGUGUGUAUGCUAUCGCGUGUGUAUGCUAUCGCGUGUGUAUGCUAUCGCGUGUGUAUGCUAUCGCGUGUGUAUGCUAUCGCGUGUGUAUGCUAUCGUGUGUGCAUGCUAUCGUGUGUGUAUGCUAUCGUGUGUGUAUGCUAUCGUGUGUGUAUGCUAUCGUGUGUGCAUGCUAUCGUGUGUGUAUGCUAUCGUGUGUGUAUGCUAUCGUGUGUGUAUGCUAUCGUGUGUGUAUGCGCCGAUGUUUGUGUUGCUUCACAGUCUCCGCUGUUUCAUAAGGUGUUUUUUUAAUCAAAUUGUAUUGCUUGCAUGAGUUACUUGAUGUGGAAUAGAGUUCCAUGUUGUCAUUACUAUUUUCAGUACUGUGCACCUUCCAUAGUCUGUUGGACCAAGAGACCUCUUGUGGCAUGUCUUGUGAGGUAUUGCAAAUACAAAAUCAAAUGCUUUUUUGCUCUGUUUGAAAUGUUCUCCUCUGUAAGACAAAAAAGCAAGCAGAAUAAAUUGACUUCAACCAUU